rnacentral:rRNA from 1 species
AGUUGACGGGUUGGGAAAGGGAUGUAAGAUGUCGGGCUCCCCCGGCGAAAGGCAGAGGGAUUGAGCGGCGCGAGCCGCACGAUCAUUGACAGUAUGCACAGGUGACUUGUGUGGGCGCCCUGCGGAUGACUUGAAGAGCAUCCGGAGCGCGUCCUGGAUUCAAGUAAUUCAGCGAACGCGAGCCUGGAAGCUUCACGAAGAAUCGGUGGCGCGAGCCAUCAGCAGAUCCAAGUGAAGAGUUUGAUCCUGGCUCAGAUUGAACGCUGGCGGCAUGCCUAACACAUGCAAGUCGAGCGGCAGCGCGGGGGCGACCCUGGCGGCGAGCGGCGGACGGGUGAGUAAGGCAUCGGAAUCUGCCCUGAUGUGGGGGAUAACGUAGGGAAACUUACG